rnacentral:tRNA from 1 species
GGGGUGAUGGUUCAACCGGGAGAACACUGCCCUCGCACGGCAGGGAUCGAGGUUCGACCCCUCGUCGCUCCACCG